AUGGCUGUCGUCAGCUCGUGUCGUGAGAUGUUGGGUUAAGUCCCGCAACGAGCGCAACCCUUGUCGUUAGUUACUACCAUUAAGUUGAGGACUCUAGCGAGACUGCCUGGGUUAACCAGGAGGAAGGUGGGGAUGACGUCAAAUCAUCAUGCCCCUUAUGUGUAGGGCUACACACGUGCUACAAUGGCUGGUACAGAGAGAUGCAAUACCGCGAGGUGGAGCCAAACUUAAAAACCAGUCUCAGUUCGGAUUGUAGGCUGAAACUCGCCUACAUGAAGCUGGAGUUACUAGUAAUCGCGAAUCAGAAUGUCGCGGUGAAU
rnacentral:rRNA from 1 species